rnacentral:rRNA from 1 species
AGGACGAACGCUGGCGGCGUGCCUAACACAUGCAAGUCGAACGGGACCAGGGGCAACUCUGGUUCAGUGGCGGACGGGUGCGUAACACGUGAGGAACAUGACCUUCGGCGGGGGAUAGCCGGCCCAACGGCCGGGUAAUACCGCGUACGACCACUUGGGGACAUCCUCGGGUGGUGAAAGCAGCAAUGCGCCGAUGAAGUGCCUCGCGGCCUAUCAGCUAGUUGGUGAGGUAACGGCUCCCCAAGGCGACGACGGGUAGC